GACCGCGUAGCUCAGUUGGCAGAGCGUUGGACUAGCAUUCCAAAGGUCAUAGGUUCGAAUCCCGCCGUAGCCA
rnacentral:tRNA from 1 species